UUAGUGUAUAAUUAUUUUGUUAGCAUGCUAAACUAGCAUAUAACGCAUUAUCGAGAUAAUAUCGUUAGCAAAAUAUGGAUGGAGUUUGCUAUAUGGAUGAAAUGAUAUGGGAUACAAACCAACUUAAUAUGUUAGUAAUAUAUUUGACGAUAUAAACAAAUUCUCAGUUAUUGAACCAAUGAUUAGAUUUCAAAAACUGAUAUAUAUGCGAAGACGAUAACAUUAUUAUUAAAAGGUAACAAAAUAUUUAGCAUGAAAAGCAAAAAAGUUGACUUGCGACUCAAUAAUCAUGUAAAGAAAUACAUGCAUCAGAUUAGUUAGCAGAUAACGUAUUAUCAGGAUAACAUGAUAACAAAUAUCUCGGUAAUACUUAUUAGGUUACAAAAUAUUUAUAUCAAUAAGUUUAUAAUUAUGUCAUGCUAAGUCAUUUUGUAUCGCGAUAAGUUAUAACUUAUGUGAUAUAUUUAUAUUUACCUUCUUAACUCACUUAUUAUAUCAUAUAAAAAAAUUAACAAGUUACU
rnacentral:sRNA from 1 species